rnacentral:lncRNA from 1 species
CUCGGCCAAGAAAUGGCAGGUGCUCAUUUGCAUCUCAUUUUAUGAUCAUUUGCAUAUCAUCUGCAGUACUGGCUGCACCAAGCCCUGGGGUGCAGACCUAAGAUUCUCGAACCUAAGAGUACCCUUGGCUGCAAGAGGAUCAGAGAGGCACAAUAUAAGAAAAGCCCACCAGUUAUUGGAGAGCGUGGGCAGGAGGAACCUCUGGGUCCCGCAGAUCAGAAAAACUCCGAAGGCCAGAUUGUGAGUCCGGGGAAGGGAGGCGGAGGGUGGGGGCGGGAGGGGCGGGGAGGGUGGGACUUGCUCCGGCCCCGCCCCCUCGGCUCCGGAGCAGGUCGGGCUCCCCUGAGAGGUCCCUCGGCCCCGCUCCUCCUCCGCGUCCCCCUCCCGCCGUCCUAGACCCCCGCCUAGCCCAGGUCGGUCUCCGCGGACCCACAGCGGACCCACGGACGGACAGAGGGACGGGAGGACGGCCAGCCGCGAGCGCCCGGGAGGCGGCAGGGGGCGGGAGGCGACGGCCGUGGCGUGAGGAGCAGGAGCAGGUGCAGGCGGCGGCGGCGGCGGGGCCGGGACCCGGCGCGGAGCGGGGCCGCGGCACGGGCGGGCGGCAGGGACUGGGAGGCCGCGACUCGGAGUCAGCCCUGCUGGUCGCGCCGUGCCGGGGAGCCAGAAUUGAGCCGGGUGGGGUGGUGACUCCGGAGAACGCAGGAUCCCAAGGAGACAGAGAGGACGAGAGCUGGAGGGGGAUCCGGAGAGCGGCGGAGGCUCUCCGAGAAGGGUGGAGUAGGACAUAGGGGGCACACCUGGAGGGGAGACGGGCGGGGGUGGCCAGGACCUGAGCUGGAGCCUGGGAGCCCCGGAGGCCAGGCAGGUGAGGCGGGAGACCCGGAGGUGGGGGUGAGGUCCGGUUAGUGGGAGAGAUCCGGAGGUGUUAAGUUCUGAGCUGGGCUGAGAAGGUAGGCUGGGAGGGGAGACGGGCUCUCAGUGGGAGACCCAGGGUGGUCAGCUGGCGGGGUAAGCUGAGGGAGAACCCAGGGCCAGGUGGAGAGCCGGCAGGGUUGGGGGCUCCCUAGGCGGCAGGCAGGUGGGCUCAAGGGUGAGGCUGUUUUUUUGUUUUGUUUGUUGUUUGUUUUCUGUUUUUGAGACGGAGUCUCGCUCUGUCACCCAGGCUGGAGUGCAGUGGCAUGAUCUGGGCUCACUGCAACCUCCGCCUCCUGGGUUCAAGCGGUUCUCCUGCCUCAGCCUCCUGAGUAGCUGGGAUUACAGGUGCGCACCACCACGCCUGGCUAACUUUUUUAUUUUUAGUAAAGAUGGUGUUUCACCAUGUUGGUCAGGCUGGUCUCGAACUCCUGACGUCGUGAUCUGCCCGCCUCAGCCUCCCAAAGUACUGGGAUUACAGGCAUGAGCCACCGCGCCUGGCCUGAGGCUGAUAUUAAGAAGUGAAGUGGGAUGCAGGUGGAGGGGAGGAAGAGUCUGGUGGGGAGUUAUCUCAGAAGUGAGGCCAGCACAGGCUGAGCGCAGCCCAAGGGUGAGAGGGUGCCCACAGAGAGGACGCCGCAGUGAGGCCCUAGGCCACGACCCAGGGGUGCCUCCAAUGGGGGAAGCCCCU